UACGUAGGUGGCAAGCGUUGUCGGGAUUUACUGGGCGUAAAGAGCGCGCAGGCGGUCGUUCAAGUCGCGUGUGAAAGUCCCCGGCUCAACUGGGGAGGGUCACGCGAUACUGAUCGACUGGAAGGCAGGAGAGGGUAGUGGAAUUCCCGGUGUAGUGGUGAAAUGCGUAGAUAUCGGAAGGAACAUCAGUGGCGAAAGCGACUUCCUGGACCAAUACUGACGCUCAUGUGCGAAAGCGUGGGGAGCAAACAGG
rnacentral:rRNA from 1 species